rnacentral:tRNA from 1 species
GCCUGGGUGGCUCAGCGGUUGAGCGUCUGCCUUUGGCCCAGAGGGUGAUCCUGGGGUCCUGGGAUCAAGUCCCAUAUCAGGCU